rnacentral:tRNA from 1 species
AGCCCCGAGGUGUUUGUCACGUAAGAUUGCAAAUCUUCAGGAGUCGACUAAUUGUCGGCCGGGGCUU